AGCGAACGCUGGCGGCAGGCCUAACACAUGCAAGUCGAACGAACUCUUCGGAGUUAAUGGCGGACGGGUGAGUAACACGUGGGAACGUGCCUUUAGGUUCGGAAUAACUCAGGGAAACUUGUGCUAAUACCGAAUGUGCCCUUCGGGGGAAAGAUUUAUCGCCUUUAGAGCGGCCCGCGUCUGAUUAGCUAGUUGGUGAGGUAAAGGCUCACCAAGGCGACGAUCAGUAGCUGGUCUGAGAGGAUGAUCAGCCACAUUGGGACUGAGACACGGCCCAAACUCCUACGGGAGGCAGCAGUGGGGAAUCUUGCGCAAUGGGCGAAAGCCUGACGCAGCCAUGCCGCGUGAAUGAUGAAGGUCUUAGGAUUGUAAAAUUCUUUCACCGGGGACGAUAAUGACGGUACCCGGAGAAGAAGCCCCGGCUAACUUCGUG
rnacentral:rRNA from 1 species